rnacentral:lncRNA from 1 species
AUGCUCCUCUCUCAAGACUGGUAUACUUUCUCACUCUACUCCCUUUACAAAUGCCCUGAUCGAACUUUGCUGAUGAAAUUAUCUUUUCUUAGUUUCUUAGACUUUGGAUGGUGGAGACCUGUGCCUGCUACUUCUCUCAUCUCCCGAUACCUAAUGCAUAGUGUUCAGGCACCAAGGAAGAGAACCAAUGGCAGAAGUCACACGUGCAAGCAAGAUGGGAGUCUGGAGAGCCUCAGGCUAAAUCACCAGUGCUCAGCCCUCUUCUCUUUCCCCAGUAGGGGCCUUGCCUCUCCAGUGUACCCGGCUUUUGAAGGACCUUGUCUCCAUGUUUCCAUUGUUGAUGGAAGGACCGUGGCAGGACUUUGCUUUCCAGUGCCACUAUUAUGUCAGCAGGCUAGCCCUGAACCCCACAUGCAAAGAUCAAAUUCUGGGAGUUUACAUUUCUGAAACUUGGGUCAAGGUCCUGACCAAUCCUCAAAAGAGCAACUGUGUGGACAUCUGUGGCAAUGGUAAGAGUUCUUUAGUGGCCAGUCAGCUCUGUUGUUCUCUCCAGCUAAAUGAAGGCAAGUAAUAUGAAAAGUAGGUCCAAGCACA